rnacentral:rRNA from 1 species
CCUACGGGAGGCAGCAGUGGGGAAUAUUGCGCAAUGGGCGCAAGCCUGACCCAGCAACGCCGCGUGAAGGAUGAAGGUUUUCGGAUUGUAAACUUCUGUCGCGAGGGACGAAGAAUGACGGUACCUCGUAAGAAAGCCCCGGCUAACUACGUGCCAGCAGCCGCGGUAAUACGGAGGGGGCAAGCGUGGUCCGGACUGACUGGGCGUAAAGGGAGUGUAGUCGGCUCAUCAAGUUAGAUGUGAAGUCCCGAGGCUUAACCGCGGAACUGCAUCUAAAACGGGUAAGCUGGAGGGCAGGAGAGGUGAGGUGAAUUACUAGUGGAGCGGUGGAAUGCGUAGAUAUUAGGAGGA